rnacentral:rRNA from 1 species
GGGCGUUAAGUUGCAGGGUAUAGACCCGAAACCCGGUGAUCUAGCCAUGGGCAGGUUGAAGGUUGGGUAACACUAACUGGAGGACCGAACCGACUAAUGUUGAAAAAUUAGCGGAUGACUUGUGGCUGGGGGUGAAAGGCCAAUCAAACCGGGAGAUAGCUGGUUCUCCCCGAAAGCUAUUUAGGUAGCGCCUCGUGAAUUCAUCUCCGGGGGUAGAGCACUGUUUCGGCAAGGGGGUCAUCCCGA